AUGCAGUCAGAACAAAAGAAAGCUAGAAUAGAACAUAUAAAUGAAUUGAAGCGCAGCACAGCAAACAAAGACUCAAUUGCGAUGCAAAACCCUGCAUAUAGCUCAACUGAACAAGAAGUUUGUAUUUCUACCCCUUCUGUAAAUCACAGAAAGCAUGUCACGCGAGGAGAAAGACAAACAUUGCUGCACCGCCGUAACAAACAAUUCACGACAAGACGGAGGAAAAAUGUUACAGUAUCAUCAAAAGAAGAUGCAUCCAUGACGGAAAUCGGCAACAAUGACACAGAGCCUCUACAUCAACCACAAGUAAUGAUUUACGGUAAAAAUCUAAAUUUGAUACAAUACUAG
rnacentral:rRNA from 1 species